rnacentral:snoRNA from 1 species
UGCUGUGAAGAAGUAUUUCGACUGAUAAAUGAUGAAGGGCCAAAGCUCGGAGC